rnacentral:rRNA from 1 species
CGAGGGGCAGCGCGGAAGUAGCAAUACUUCUGGCGGCGACCGGCAGAAGGGUGCGUAACACGUGAGCAACCUGCCCGUGACAGGGGGAUAACCGACGGAAACGUCGCCUAAUACCCCGUAACAACUUCGGAGGCAUCUCCGGAGUUUGAAAGACACGUCAGUCACGGAUGGGCUCGCGGUACAUUAGCUGGUUGGCGGGGUAACGGCCCACCAAGGCGACGAUGUAUAGGGGUUCUGAGAGGAAGGUCCCCCACACUGGAACUGAGACACGGUCCAGACUCCUACGGGAGGCAGCAGUGAGGAAUAUUGGACAAUGGAGGCAACUCUGAUCCAGCCAUGCCGCGUGAAGGAAUAAGGCCCUAUGGGUCGUAAACUUCUUUUGACGCACAGCAAUAAGGACUACGUGUAGUCUGAUAAAAAAAAGCAUCGUAUAAGCAUCGGCUGGGUCCGUACCAGCAGCCGCGAUAAUACGGAGGAUGCGCAGCGUUAUCCGGAUUUAUUGGGUUUAAAGGGUGCGUAGGCUGAAGAUCAAGUCAGCGGUGAAAUGUCCCGGCUCAACCGGGGCCUUGCCGUUGAAACUGGUCAUCUGGAAUGCGGAUGCCGUGGGAGGAAUGUGUGGUGUAGCGGUGAAAUGCAUAGAUUUCACGCCUUACACCGAUUGCGAAGGCAUCUCACGAAUCCGCUAUUGACGUUGAGGCACGAAAGCGUGGAGAUCAAACAGGAUUAGAUACCCUGGUAGUCCACGCAGUAAACGAUGAUGACUAACUGCCGGCGAUACAGUGUCGGUGGCCAAGCGAAAGCGAUAAGUCAUCCACCUGGGGAGUACGACCGCAAGGUUGAAACUCAAAGGAAUUGACGGGGGCCCGCACAAGCGGAGGAACAUGUGGUUUAAUUCGAUGAUACGCGAGGAACCUUACCCGGGCUCGAACGGCAGGUGAACGACACAGAGAUGUGAAGGUCCUACGGGACGCCUGUCGAGGUGCUGCAUGGUUGUCGUCAGCUCGUGCCGUGAGGUGUCGGCUUAAGUGCCAUAACGAGCGCAACCCUUGCCGUCAGUUACCAUCAGGUGAAGCUGGGGACUC